GCCUGGCUGGCUCAGUUGGUAGAGUACGAGACUUGAACUUGGGGUUGUGGGUUUGAGCCCCACGUUGGGUG
rnacentral:tRNA from 1 species